rnacentral:rRNA from 1 species
AUUGAACGCUGGCGGAAUGCUUUACACAUGCAAGUCGAACGGUAGAGGGGGGCAACCCCUUGAGAGUGGCGAACGGGUGAGUAAUAUAUCGGAACGUGCCCAGUCGUGGGGGAUAACGUAGCGAAAGUUACGCUAAUACCGCAUACGUCCUGAGGGAGAAAGCGGGGGACCGUAAGGCCUCGCGCGAUUGGAGCGGCCGAUGUCGGAUUAGCUAGUUGGUGGGGUAAAGGCCUACCAAGGCGACGAUCCGUANCGGGUCUGAGAGGAUGAUCCGCCACACUGGGACUGAGACACGGCCCAGACUCCUACGGGAGGCAGCAGUGGGGAAUUUUGGACAAUGGGGGCAACCCUGAUCCAGCCAUGCCGCGUGAGUGAAGAAGGCCUUCGGGUUGUAAAGCUCUUUCAGACGGAAGGAAAACGCAUCGGUGAAUACCCGGUGUGGAUGACGGUACCGUAAGAAGAAGCACCGGCUAACUACGUG